rnacentral:piRNA from 1 species
UACAAGAGAAUUAAUUAUUGUGAUUGAAAU